rnacentral:lncRNA from 1 species
AGAAAAAGGGUAGUUAGAAUAAAAUAAAGUGGCCCAUCAAGUAUUCAGCCCAAGUUUAUUACCACAGUGGACUCGGGUUAUAAUUACCAACAGAGGAGAGAAUAACUAUAAGUUAUUUUGAUGUAAAAAGCAUAUUAUCCUAAGCCAACAUAAUAACACAGUUUUUAUGAAGCACAAUAAUUACUUUGAAGACUCACAGAAGUGCAUUUUUCUAAAAGAAGGAGAUUCUCAUACAGAAACAGAUUAACAGAAACAGAAACAGCAACACUAGAGAACAGCAAAAUAGUAACAUUUCAAAUAGUAACAUUUCAAGAAAAUAUAUACACCUUCACAGUAUGUGGUGGUAUCCACUUACUGUCUACUGCCUCCAUAACUCCUAAAGUCUUCUGAAGCCUUUUCACAACUGGGAAUUCUUUAGAGAAAGGCAAUCUUACCUCAUUUACUUACUUCAUCAGUAAUGCCAUUACUAUGCCUACCUAAGAAGAAAAUAUAUCAUGUGGCAGAGGACUAGAAAGAAAAAACAACAACAAAAGGCUGUGAAGAUUUGAUCAUAUGCCUACGUGUGUGGUGAAUACAAUAUUUCUUUAAUCGCAAUCAGGAAUAUAAAUCUUAUUUUGAUGCUAUGACAUAAUAAAGUGCAUUAUUUUCCUGAAA